rnacentral:misc_RNA from 1 species
CAAAAAGAAUAUGAAAUUUGUAAACAUGAAUUGAAUCUUUUGAGAUCGUAAGAAACUCAAGCUAGGAAUGUAGAAUAGAGCCCUUAAGAACCUCAAGCUAAUUGAUUAGCUAGCAAAAACAAUACAAUCCACAAAGAACAAGAACAAAAAAGCCAACACGACACACCGUAUCAGUCAUCACCCCCGCAAUCAGUACACUCCUACACUUUAAAAAAUAAUAAUAAUAAUACUAAUCACCUCUCUGGCAAACACUCGAAAUAUUCUGUCCAGUUUAUUUAAAAAUGAAACCGAGAACCGUUGAUGAUAAAACAGACAACACGAAAACCCGACAGCAAGGACGAUAACCCUAAAAACAGAAACCCGGCAAAUCCCAACGCGAUAGCGGUGUAUGAUUGCACGCAGAAAGCAUUGCUUACCCUACACGUGUCACCGCCGUUCAGCGUCCUUGCCAGCGCCGUGCCCGCCGAGUCCGCCGACAAUAGAAGGUAUGCGAACACCUGGUCAUGGCCGAAGUCGAACCAGACUUGGAGGACUUCAGGGAACAAAGUGGCGCCUCUGGAAAUUUCCCAGACGGAGGCGGCCAUUUCGAAAAGAGAGUAGAGAGUGACGAUUGCAUUUGCAGCGAAAACGUAUCUGAAGGCGUCGAAAUCGUACCAAUGAGGGGAACCGUAUCCUCUGGAGUUAGUGAGAGUGAAGACAACGGAGGCGAGAGAAAAGCAAAACGUAGCGAGUCGGAACACGAGAAUCAGUGAGUUGAAUCUUUUCAGCUUCUGUAGGGAUACAGUGGAGUGGAAGUGUGGAUCCUCGAUCCGCGGGUGGGGCGACGGAGUAUCGCCGUUACGGAGGGACUGUGUAGACCGCAUGAUCCUUGAUGGUGGUGAUAGUAAUUUUGAAGUAGAAAAGUGGAAAAGGAAUGAAAAGAAGUACUCAUGAGAGGAGAAGAGUUGAAAGGGUAGAGAGAGAGAGAGUGGAGAUUGAGACAGAGGACAUAGCAAGAGUUUUAUAUGGGAUUUGUGAGAAAGGAAAGAAAGAAAGAAAGAAGUUAAGGUAACCUGGAAUGCUAUUAGAAGAAGAUAUCCUAUUGCUGUGCUUCAGUUUUGUUGAACAGCCAAUUGAUUCGAGUGGUGGAGCAAAUGACUAGUUAAAGAAGCACCGAUUAAUUAAGUGCUGAGUCCAUUGAAAGUUGAAAAGCCAUGCUUCCUCCGAAACAAGACGAAGGAACUCGCUCUCUUUGGGGGAAAUAGGACA